rnacentral:rRNA from 1 species
CCUACGGGAGGCAGCAGUGAGGAAUAUUGGACAAUGGGCGCAAGCCUGAUCCAGCCAUGCCGCGUGCAGGAAGACGCAUCUAUGGUGUGUAAACUGCUUUUGUACGGGAAGAAACACUCCCUCGUGAGGGAGCUUGACGGUACCGUAAGAAUAAGGAUCGGCUAACUCCGUGCCAGCAGCCGCGGUAAUACGGAGGAUCCAAGCGUUAUCCGGAAUCAUUGGGUUUAAAGGGUCCGUAGGCGGUUUAAUAAGUCAGUGGUGAAAGCCCAUCGCUCAACGAUGGAACGGCCAUUGAUACUGUUAGACUUGAAUUACUAGGAAGUAACUAGAAUAUGUAGUGUAGCGGUGAAAUGCUUAGAUAUUACAUGGAAUACCAAUUGCGAAGGCAGGUUACUACUAGUGGAUUGACGCUGAUGGACGAAAGCGUGGGGAGCGAACAGGAUUAGAUACCCUGGUAGUCCACGCCGUAAACGAUGGAUACUAGCUGUUGGGCGCAAAGUUCAGUGGCUAAGCGAAAGUGAUAAGUAUCCACCUGGGGAGUACGUUCGCAAGAAUGAAACUUAAAUGAAAUUGACGG